CCUACGGGAGGCAGCAGUGGGGAAUAUUGCACAAUGGGGGAAACCCUGAUGCAGCAACGCCGCGUGAGUGAUGAAGGUUUUCGGAUCGUAAAACUCUGUCUUUGGGGAAGAUAAUGACGGUACCCAAGGAGGAAGCCACGGCUAACUACGUGCCAGCAGCCGCGGUAAU
rnacentral:rRNA from 1 species